GUCUCUGUAGCGUAAUAGAUAGCGCGUUGGACUUCAAAUCCAAAGGUUUUGGGUUCGCAUCCCUCCUGAGAUG